rnacentral:rRNA from 1 species
AACGUACGCUGGCGGCAGGCUUAACACAUGCAAGUCGAGCGCCCCGCAAGGGGAGCGGCAGACGGGUGAGUAACGCGUGGGAAUCUACCCAUCUCUACGGAAUAACGCAUGGAAACGUGUGCUAAUACCGUAUACGUCCCUCGGGAGAAAGAUUUAUCGGAGAUGGAUGAGCCCGCGUUGGAUUAGCUAGUUGGUGGGGUAAAGGCCUACCACGGCGACGAUCCAUAACUGGUCUGAGAGGAUGAUCAGCCACACUGGGACUGAGACACGGCCCAGACUCCUACGGGAGGCAGCAGUGGGGAAUAUUGGACAAUGGGCGCAAGCCUGAUCCAGCCAUGCCGCGUGAGUGAUGAAGGCCCUAGGGUUGUAAAGCUCUUUCACCGGUGAAGAUAAUGACGGUAACCGGAGAAGAAGCCCCGGCUAACUUCGUGCCAGCCGCCGCCGUAAGAC